UUAUAAGAUUCCACUAUACGCUUCGUAAUAACGUAUCAUCAUUCCCUUUGAUCGGCCUUGGCAUACCUUUAGCUUUAAAGAAAUUGGAGAAUCAACUUUCACAAUUGCAGAAUUCAUUUCCCAAGAAUCAAUCUUUGGAAAUUUCAGAGGAACAAGAUAUUUUCAAAGUAGAUCACCUUGGAAUAAAGGAGUGACUGAGAGAUCUACAUGAUCAACGAACUUGGUGUUGCGUGUCCACAUUAGACACUACUAAAGGUUGUUAACCUUCUUGUAAUCACAACACACACAAGUGAUGGCGUCCCAUCCAACUCCUAUCACACAGACAGGUAUACCUUGUGUCCCCUAUAAAUAGGGUUGUUCAUCCCAAUCAAAUUGAAGAAAUGUUAAGGAAUAUCAGAGAAUAUCAAGGAAUAUCAACAAUAUCAAAGAACACUAAGGGAUAUCAAGGUAGAUGAAAGGGUAUCAAGGAAUGUCAAGAAAUGUCAAACAAUAUCAAGGAACAUCACUAUCUCUUCACAACAAACCUUUAUCACACAUCUUUGCUUUCCAACUCAUACCAAUAAUCAAUAUCAAUGUCAUCUUAGAAUUUGAGAAAUUGAAGAUCUCAUUUAUCAAAACUUUUGUAGAAAAGAUAUCAUGAUAAUAUCUCACUGAUGAGAAAACAAUCAAAAGAAUCUUUAGUUGAAGAGAGGUAUUGCCAAGGUCUUCUCAAAUUCCCACUCUACUUUACGAAAUCGUUAUUCGAUUUAUGUCAUCCUUUCAACGUUCUCGAUAAUCAAUCGAUUUGACUCGUAAUAGCCUCGUAAGAUGUCAUCGUAGAUGUUAUAGUUCGUAAUAAGUCUGGCCCAAGUAGUUCACGUCCUCAUGUUUCAUCCAGUUGCCUUUGAAUUCCAUAGCACAACACGUAGCGUAUCUUCUAUUUUCUGACUCGUCAACCUGUGGGUUAUGGGCCCACCUUGAUAUCGUUUGAAGUCCCGAUUAGCUUGAAGCGUCGUCGUCGAGGACUAACGUUCUAACUUACUCGUAGACAUCAUCUCUAAUAACUGGACUCAAUUCCACGUACUCUCUAUCAUUCACUUCUCAUCUAUCAACUUCUAUCUACAACUCUCUCCUCCGAAUUCAGUACAACUAAUAUCUUACACUAACUCUUCAUAUCUUACUAACACCAUAUACCUUUUCCAAAUAUCUGACAUGGUCAACAUACUAUGAACCAUGCAUCUUUAUCAUUCUCAAAUCAAUACAAUAAUCCAAUUUCAAAUAUGCAAUAUAGUCAGAAUACUCUGAACUCUGCAUUUUCACCAUUCUCAACUCAAUCAUUCACUAUUAAACUCUUCUAUAUAGGUCUAAUACUGACCUUUUCCACAAUUCACCAUCUCAAUUAAUCAACAUACUAGAAAUCAUACGUCUAAACUUAAGAAUCCUAAUCUCUUUAAAUAUCCACACUUAAUUUGAUCAUCUAACUAAACUCUAUGCUUCACUCACAUUUCUAGACUAUUCCUAAAUAGUCCGACCAUACCUCUAUGUGAGGUUACAUCACAUUCUUCUCUAGAAAACCUAUAACUAGGAUCUAUAUUCUAAUUUCAAAUACUUAUAACCUGUUGCUCUGAUA
rnacentral:lncRNA from 1 species